GUGAAACAGGGUUUCACGACGCCUCGGGCUCUGCGCGUCAGAGGACCGAAGAACUCGAAGCUGCAUACAUAGUAAUCAGCCCGCCUGAGUCUCCCGUUCGAAACGUUGUGAAUUCACCGGAUCGAACCGUCCAGGACUCACACGCAACGCUAACAAACCACCGAGACAUUCUCGUUGAAGCAGUGCUUGAAGCCGGAAUUCAGCUAGCCGGAUUUAACCGGCCGGACGUAACCCAGAAUACACCGGCUGAAUCUCUGUUAGUUGCAGACGUUCCUCCCCGCACCUCAACCCCUCAGCCAGAAGCUGCAGCCCGUGCAGAGGGUCUCACCCCUCAGCGGGCAGUCUCCAGAGCAAGCAUACCAGAGCAGACCCCACCACCAGCAGCAGCAGCAGC